rnacentral:rRNA from 1 species
UGGGGAAUAUUGCACAAUGGGCGCAAGCCUGAUGCAGCCAUGCCGCGUGUGUGAAGAAGGCCUUCGGGUUGUAAAGUACUUUCAGCGGGGAGGAAGGGAGCAAAGUUAAUACCUUUGCUCAUUGACGUUACCCGCAGAAGAAGCACCGGCUAACUCCGUGCCAGCAGCCGCGGUAAUACGGAGGGUGCAAGCGUUAAUCGGAAUUACUGGGCGUAAAGCGCACGCAGGCGGUUUGUUAAGUCAGAUGUGAAAUCCUCGGGCUCAACCUGGGAACUGCAUCUGAUACUGGCAAGCUUGAGUCUCGUAGAGGGGGGUAGAAUUCCAGGUGUAGCGGUGAAAUGCGUAGAGAUCUGGAGGAAUACCGGUGGCGAAGGCGGCCCCCUGGACGAAGACUGACGCUCAGGUGCGAAAGCGUGGGGAGCAAACAGG